rnacentral:rRNA from 1 species
CCUUUGACGUUAGCGGCGGACGGGUGAGUAACACGUGGGUAACCUACCUAUAAGACUGGGAUAACUUCGGGAAACCGGAGCUAAUACCGGAUAAUAUUUCGAACCGCAUGGUUCGAUAGUGAAAGGUGGUUUUGCUAUCACUUAUAGAUGGACCCGCGCCGUAUUAGCUAGUUGGUAGGGUAACGGCUUACCAAGGCGACGAUACGUAGCCGACCUGAGAGGGUGAUCGGCCACACUGGAACUGAGACACGGUCCAGACUCCUACGGGAGGCAGCAGCU